rnacentral:rRNA from 1 species
AUACAGAGGGUGCAAGCGUUAUUCGGAAUUACUGGGCGUAAAGCGCGCGUAGGCGGAUGAUUAAGUCAGUUGUGAAAGCCCUGGGCUCAACCUAGGAACUGCAUCUGAUACUGGUCGUCUAGAGUUUAGGAGAGGGAAGUGGAAUUCCAGGUGUAGCAGUGAAAUGCGUAGAUAUCUGGAGGAACAUCAGUGGCGAAGGCGACUUCCUGGCUUAAAACUGACGCUGAGGUGCGAAAGCGUGGGGAGCGAACAGGAUUAGAAACCCUAGUAGUCC